GGGUGGACGAACAGACAUGUAGUUGUAACCAGACAAGUUGGACACACAGUAACAGAGGGAUUGAGGGCCCCGCUCAGUGAGUUUACAUGUUAGAGGGAGUGGGGUAUAGUGACACAGUAACAGAGGGAUUGAGGGCCCUGCUCAAUGAGUUUACAUGUUAGAGGGAGUGGGGUAUAGUGACACAGUAACAGAGGGAUUGAGGGCCUGCUCAG